rnacentral:lncRNA from 1 species
CGGAAGUGUAUAACCUUGGGCAGAUCGUUUAACUUCUCUCUGCUUUACAGUUACAAGCGGUAAUACAAAGAGACAGGAUUAUAUGAUCUCCAAGGUCCCAUCCAGCCCAUUUAACACGGCAUUGUGGCUCUGGAGACCUGGAAGCACUGCUAACUGUUCUCUCGAUUUUCUGACGCUCGGCCACAUCAACCUGUCAUACUAGUUGUGAGGAGAAGUCAAGGACAGUGACACAGCCAGCCAGUCUGAGGCAUUUUCCAUCAUCCUGAAGGAGUUGCCCUAUCCUGCUUUUCACUGGAGGGGGCAUGGAUGGGUAGGUAAACACACCUGCCGUGAAGUUUCCAGUUCUAUCCUCCUGCAAGGCCUUCGGGGAUAAGUGUGUUAGAAGAUUGGUCAGUAUCAUUUGCCAACUUGAUGUCUCUUCCUUUUUUAAUGAUCCUUAGUUUCCCCACUGUUUCCUGUCACAGGAUUCAAUUUCACUCCACAUUCAUCCUUUCUUACUGGGCACUGAUGUUGAGAGCAUCAGGCAGGGUAUAAUGUUAUGUUGCAGUAACAAACACCCUCAAUAUCUCAGUGGCUUAAAAUGACAACGAUCUUUUUUUUGUUUGUUUGUUUAUGCUCUAUAUCACCCAGGGAUCCUGGAUGACAAAGCAGUCACCUACUUGAACACUGCUAAUUAUGAAGUCAGAAAGAGGAAAGUUUGCAGAGUUUUGUAUUGGCAAUCAAACAUUCAGCCACAGGUCACAGUCUAGAACCAGACACAUCAGUGUCCUCAACUGCAAAGUAGCCAGGAAGCAGCAUCCCAUAACACAGUCCUAUGUCCACUGUUUUGGAGGUAGGAAAUUGGAAAUAUUCAGUGAGUAGCACUGUGAGUAGGGCAGUAAUUUCAUUUUUUAAUUAAACAAAUGGAAGAUGGCAGCUCCUCAGUUUUUUCUUCUAUGGUUUAUUUCUGAUGUCUUAUCUUAAUUAAUAUAUCCUGAUAUCUAUUUCCCAUUACUUAGUCUGUCCUUUUUCCCAAUAUCCAGUUAUUUUCAGUAAAUAUUUUCUGUCAUUACACCCAGCAGUCUAACUUUUUGCGACUUCAGUGUCUAUUCUCAUUCCUCAGUCCCAAAUCCAUUUUCUUUAUUAGAUUUAUCUGAACUCCUGCAGCUCUUUCUGUCUGCAUCACACAACUUAACCUUUAAUUACUUGCCUACUGGGCAUUCUACUUGGUUCUGCCUUUUAUCAGCUGAAUCAGAACAUAACUUUCUCUCACCACCUCCCUCCCCUACUCCAAAUUGACUUUACCUCCUGAUCCCCUAUUUCCAAAGUGGUUCCAUUAUUCUUCUCAGUGCUCAGCCUUAACAUCUUCGUUUCUGUUUGACUUCUAAUCUCUGGCAUCUCAUAAUUGUGCAGUUACCAAACUCUCCCCCAUGAACUCGAUGUGCUCAUGUGGAUCAAAUGACACAGUAAAAGUGAAAGCACGUUGUAGACUCCAAAUACAAGAGGAUACUGCUCUCUAUUCCUUCAACUAUUUUUCAUUCCUUAUUUAUUUAUUCAUCAUUCAUUUAUUCAUGUAGUUACUCAAGACCUAAGUGUUUUCUUGGAACUGUGUUUGUUACUGAGGAAGCCACAAAUUAAAUAUAAGUCUGCUCUUCAAGAGGUUACAUUCCAGUUAAGGAGAUUGCAUAUCCAUAUUUCCAGAAGUACCAAUGUGAUUGAAGCAAGGGAAAUUGCUAUGGGAUAUCUGACCAACUGGAUAUUCUGCUGGAAGAGCAGAAUGCACUUCAAAGACUAGCCAAUAAAACUCUCAUGUAAGAUAUGUUUUUCUUUUUGUUUCUAUUUAACUAAUGAAUAGAACCUCAGUGAUUUAAGGAAAGGCAGGCCCAUGAUAUGGAAAGAGAAGGGGAUGAUGAUGAUAUUCUGGAAUGGUCGUGCAAGGCUUCAGGAGGAAGUGAGAGUGAUGAUUGAAUCAUAUAACUCCUGAAUAAAUAUCUGGAAUAAACAUCUCCAGAAUAAAACAUCUGGAGGAUUCUCAGUAUACUUAGAAUAAAAUUGAGCCUCCUCAUGAAGGCCUACUAGCACCUUCAUGAUCAAACCCCUUUUCAACUUUGACCUUCUUUCUUAUUUUAGGGGCUCCUGACACACUGACCUCUGUCAGUUCCUUCAGCACACCAGGCUAAUCCCCAGUCUUGCGCCUUUGGACCAGAGGUUUUCUUUGCUCAGAAUACUGUUUCAACAGAUCUUUGCAUAGCUGGCUCUCGCUAUUUGACUAAAAUGUCAAUCCUCAGAGAGGUACUCCUUAAAUAUCCAAUCUUAAGUAGCAUCCCUUUCUCCCAGGAUCCUGUUUUUCAGAACUCUGUUUUCUUUUUAAAACACUUGUUAUCUGAAAGGAUGUCGUCUGCUUGCUUGUUUGUUCAUUUCUUUAUUGUCUAUUCCAUCUCACCCCUUCUCAGGAUGUAAGCUGUUUAAAGGCAAGGACCUUAUCUGUGUUACAUGCUGUAUUCCCAGGGCUCAGACAGAGCAUGACCUAUCGUAUGUACUAAAUAAAUAUCUCCUCAUACUGUAAA